AGCGAACGCUGGCGGCAGGCCUAACACAUGCAAGUCGAGCGCCCAGCAAUGGGAGCGGCAGACGGGAGAGUAACACGUGGGAACGUGCCCUUCAGUUCGGAACAACCAAGGGAAACUUUGGCUAAUACCGGAUACGUCCGAAAGGAGAAAGAUUUAUCGCUGAAGGAGCGGCCCGCGUCUGAUUAGCUAGUUGGUGAGGUAAUGGCUCACCAAGGCGACGAUCAGUAGCUGGUCUGAGAGGAUGAUCAGCCUCACUGGGACUGAGACACGGCCCAGACUCCUACGGGAGGCAGCAGUGGGGAAUAUUGGACAAUGGGCGCAAGCCUGAUCCAGCCAUGCCGCGUGGAUGAUGAAGGCCCUAGGGGUUGUAAAGUCCUUUCGUUGGGGAAGAUAAUGACGGUACCCAAAGAAGAAGCCCCGGCUAACUUCGUGCCAGUAGCCGCGGUAAU
rnacentral:rRNA from 1 species